CGAACGCUGGCGGCAGGCUUAACACAUGCAAGUCGAGCGGGCGUAGCAAUACGUCAGCGGCAGACGGGUGAGUAACGCGUGGGAACAUACCUUUUGGUUCGGAACAACACAGGGAAACUUGUGCUAAUACCGGAUAAGCCCUUACGGGGAAAGAUUUAUCGCCGAAAGAUUGGCCCGCGUCUGAUUAGCUAGUUGGUGAGGUAAUGGCUCACCAAGGCGACGAUCAGUAGCUGGUCUGAGAGGAUGAUCAGCCACAUUGGGACUGAGACACGGCCCAAACUCCUACGGGAGGCAGCAGUGGGGAAUAUUGGACAAUGGGCGCAAGCCUGAUCCAGCCAUGCCGCGUGAGUGAUGAAGGCCCUAGGGUUGUAAAGCUCUUUUGUGCGGGAAGAUAAUGACGGUACCGCAAGAAUAAGCCCCGGCUAACUUCGUGCCAGCAGCCGCGGUAAUACGAAGGGGGCUAGCGUUGCUCGGAAUCACUGGGCGUAAAGGGUGCGUAGGCGGGUCUUUAAGUCAGGGGUGAAAUCCUGGAGCUCAACUCCAGAACUGCCUUUGAUACUGAGGAUCUUGAGUUCGGGAGAGGUGAGUGGAACUGCGAGUGUAGAGGUGAAAUUCGUAGAUAUUCGCAAGAACACCAUUGGCGAAGGCGGCUCACUGGCCCGAUACUGACGCUGAGGCACGAAAGCGUGGGGAGCAAACAGGAUUAGAUA
rnacentral:rRNA from 1 species